rnacentral:rRNA from 1 species
UGUUUCGGCUAGGGGGUCAUCCCGACUUACCAACCCGAUGCAAACUACGAAUACCGAAGAAUGUUAUCACGGGAGACACACGGCGGGUGCUAACGUCCGUCGUGAAGAGGGAAACAACCCAGACCGCCAGCUAAGGUCCCAAAGUCACAGUUAAGUGGGAAACGAUGUGGGAAGGCUCAGACAGCCAGGAUGUUGGCUUAGAAGCAGCCAUCAUUUAAAGAAAGCGUAAUAGCUCACUGGUCGAGUCGGCCUGCGCGGAAGAUGUAACGGGGCUAAACUGUGCACCGAAGCUGCGGCAGCGACACUAUGUGUUGUUGGGUA